rnacentral:rRNA from 1 species
AGUGGCGGACGGGUGAGUAAUACUUAGGAAUCUACCCAGUAGCGGGGGACAACUCGGGGAAACUCGAGCUAAUACCGCAUACGCUCUACGGAGGAAAGCAGGGGAUCUUCGGACCUUGCACUAUUGGAUGAGCCUAAGUCGGAUUAGCUUGUUGGUGAGGUAAAGGCUCACCAAGGCGACGAUCCGUAGCUGGUCUGAGAGGACGAUCAGCCACACUGGGACUGAGACACGGCCCAGACUCCUACGGGAGGCAGCAGUGGGGAAUAUUGGACAAUGGGGGCAACCCUGAUCCAGCAAUGCCGCGUGUGUGAAGAAGGCCUGCGGGUUGUAAAGCACUUUCAGUAGAGAAGAAAAGCCUAGGGUUAAUACCCCUGAGUCUUGACGUUACCUACAGAAGAAGCUCCGGCUAACUCCGUGCCAGCAGCCGCGGUAAUACGGAGGGAGCGAGCGU